rnacentral:misc_RNA from 1 species
UCUCCGUUGGUGAACCAGCGGAGGGAUCAUUACUGAGUGUUACACCUCCCAAACCCUAUGUAAACACUACCACUCGUUGUGUCGGCGGGACCGCCCCGGCCCCUCUGCGCGCCGGACCCAGGCGCCCGCCGUGGGCCCGAAACUCUUGUUUUGGUAGUGAUAUUUUCUCUGAGUGGCAUAAGUAAAUAAAUCAAAACUUUCAACAACGGAUCUCUUGGUUCUG